rnacentral:rRNA from 1 species
GACGUAGGGCGCGAGCGUUGUCCGGAUUUAUUGGGCGUAAAGAGCUCGUAGGCGGCUUGUCGCGUCGAAUGUGAAAUCUCAGGGCUCAACUCUGACAUUGCAUUCGAUACGGGCAGGCUAGAGUUCGGUAGGGGAGACUGGAAUUCCUGGUGUAGCGGUGAAAUGCGCAGAUAUCAGGAGGAACACCGGUGGCGAAGGCGGAUCUCUGGGCCAUAACUGACGCUGAGGAGCGAAAGCAUGGGGAGCGAACAGG